rnacentral:rRNA from 1 species
UAACACGUAUGGGGCAAGCGUUGUUCGGAAUUACUGGGCGUAAAGGGUGCGUAGGCGGUUCAGCAAGCUUGGUGUUAAAUCCCCCGGCCCAACCGGGGAGCAGCGCUGGGAACUGCUGGGCUGGAGUUCAGGAGGGGAAGCUGGAAUUCCUGGUGUAGGGGUGAAAUCUGUAGAGAUCAGGAAGAACACCGAUGGCGAAGGCAAGCUUCUGGCCAUGGACUGACGCUGAGGCACGAAAGCGUGGGGAGCGAACAGGAUUAGAUACCCUGGUAGUCCACGCCGUAAACGAUGUGCACUAGGUGUUGGGGCGAUGAAAGCCUCGGUGCCGUAGCGAACGUGUUAAGUGCACCGCCUGGGGAGUAUGCUCGCAAGGGUG